rnacentral:rRNA from 1 species
UACUUUAUGGAGAGUUUGAUCCUGGCUCAGGACGAACGCUGGCGGCGUGCCUAAUACAUGCAAGUCGAGCGGACCGACGGGAG